UUUGAUGUGCUCCGCCAGCUCAGUGCUGCUGCCACUGUCAGGUUAGGAGGUCCUGCUGCGGCUGGAGAUCUCAAGGUGGUCACAUCAGUAGGAAUCAGGGUAACCAGGCUCUCUGUUCUCUGGUUUGGCCCUGGUUGGUCUUCAGCUGGAGGGCUGAUGUGCCCCGCCAGCUCAGUGCUGCUCCGCCGCCAGGUUAGGAAGUCCCGCUGUAGCUGGAGACUGGGUUGCCAGGCCAGAUGCUUUCUGGGAAGUCCUGGGGGCUCUCCACUGUGCUCUCCAAGCUUGGGAGGCCCAGCGCCUGGUGUACCUAGCUUGUAUGGUGUUUCUGCCUGGUUUUGUGUGGCUUGUCUACCUGGUUGAGAAGAUGUCAUGUUUCUCUUCAAGAGUGGAGUUCCCGGAGGUCCACAUGGAGCACUUUCCAUGAAAUGGUGGAUGAAGCAGAGUAGUAUCUUAAAAAUCACUGUUUUGUCUAAUUCAAGAACCUGAGUCUUGACAUGAAUUUGAGAGCUCUGUCCAAAAUGUGGGACCAAAUUAUUAUAUUUGUCUACCCUUAGGUUUGACAAACUUUAAAAGUAUCAAAAAUAAAAAAUUAAUAUGAUGAA